CCUACGGGACGCAGCAGUGAGGAAUAUUGGUCAAUGGUCGGGAGACUGAACCAGCCAAGCCGCGUGCGGGAUGAAGGUACAGAGUAUCGUAAACCUCUUUUGUCAGGGAAUAAAGGCGGUGACGUGUCCCCGGUUGCGGGUACCUUACGAAAAAGCAUCGGCUAAUUCCGUGCCAGCAGCCGCGGUAAUACGGAGGAUGCGAGCGUUAUCCGGAUUUAUUGGGUUUAAAGGGUGCGCAGGCUG
rnacentral:rRNA from 1 species